UUUUUGAUGAUAAUUUAAAGUCGAAUCUGCCCACUGAUUAAUAAUUAAAGGGCUGCAGUAUAUUGACUGUACAAAGGUAGCAUAAUAAUUAGUCUUUUAAUUGAAGACUUGUAUGAAAGAUUUGAUGAGAUAUAAACUGUCUCUUUUUUAAAAUUAAAAUUUAAUUUUUUAGUAAAAAAGCUAAAAUAAAUUUAAAAGACGAGAAGACCCUAUAGAGUUUUAUAAUUGAAUUAUUUAAAAAUUUAUUUUUAAUUUAAAAAAUAAUUAGUUUAAUUAUUUUAUUGGGGUGAUAAAAAAAUUAAAAUAACUUUUUUUUUUAUUUUAAACAUUAAUUAAUGAAUAAUUGAUCCAUAAUUUAUGAUUAUAAGAAAAAAUUACCUUAGGGAUAACAGCGUAAUUUUUUUUUUUAGUUCUUAUAAGAAAAAAAGUUUGCGACCUCGAUGUUGGAUUAAGAUAAAAUUUAAAUGCAGAAGUUUAAAGUUUUGAUCUGUUCNAUCAUUAAAAUCUUACAUGAUCU
rnacentral:rRNA from 1 species